rnacentral:rRNA from 1 species
UACGAAGGGGGCUAGCGUUGCUCGGAAUCACUGGGCGUAAAGGGUGCGUAGGCGGGUCUUUAAGUCAGGGGUGAAAUCCUGGAGCUCAACUCCAGAACUGCCUUUGAUACUGAGGAUCUUGAGUUCGGGAGGGGUGAGUGGAACUGCGAGUGUAGAGGUGAAAUUCGUAGAUAUUCGCAAGAACACCAGUGGCGAAGGCGGCUCACUGGCCCGAUACUGACGCUGAGGCACGGAAGCGUGGGGAGCAAACAGG